UACAGAGGGGGCAAGCGUUGUUCGGAAUUACUGGGCGUAAAGGGCGCGUAGGCGGCCUUCUAAGUCGAACGUGAAAUCCCCCGGGCUCAACCCGGGAACUGCGUCCGAUACUGGAAGGCUUGAAUCCGGGAGAGGGAUGUGGAAUUCCAGGUGUAGCGGUGAAAUGCGCAGAUAUCGGGAGGAACACCCGUAGCGAAGGCGGCACUCGUGGCCGUGACUGACGCUGAGGAGCGAAAGCGUGGGGAGCGAACAGG
rnacentral:rRNA from 1 species